GUGCCAGCAGCCGCGGUAAUACGGAGGGUGCAAGCGUUGUUCGGAAUCACUGGGCGUAAAGGGCGCGCAGGCGGUUUGGUAAGUCAGAUGUGAAAGCCCACGGCUUAACCGUGGAAGUGCAUUUGAUACUGUCAGACUUGAGUACCAGAGGGGAAAGUGGAAUUCCCGGUGUAGAGGUGAAAUUCGUAGAUAUCGGGAGGAAUACCGGUGGCGAAGGCGACUUUCUGGCUGAGUACUGACGCUGAGGCGCGAAAGCUGGGGAGCAAACAGGAUUAGAUACCCUGGUAGUCCACGCCGUAAACGAUGUCAACUAGAUGCAGGGGGUGUUGAUCCCCUCUGUGUCGCAGCUAACGCAUUAAGUUGACCGCCUGGGGAGUACGGUCGCAAGAUUAAUACUCAAAGGAAUU
rnacentral:rRNA from 1 species